AUGAAGCACGCGGCGGCGCUGCUGCUGAUACUAGCGGCAGCUGCUCUUGUGCUGCUGAUACUAGCGCCAGCUGCUCAUGUGCUGCUGCCUUCUGCGCAAUACCACUGGCUCAACCCCGAGAUCCACGACGCCGGCGGGCUGAGCCGGCAGGGCUUCCCAGAGGGGUUCGUGUUCGGGACGGCCACGUCGGCGUACCAGGUGGAAGGGAUGGCGGAGCAGGGAGGGCGAGGGCCAAGUAUCUGGGACGCCUUCAUCAAGAUACCAGGGACGAUCCCCGGCAACGGCACCGCCAAUGUGGCGGUCGAUGAGUACCACAGGUACAAGGAGGAUGUGGACAUAAUGAAGAACAUGGGAUUCGACGCGUACCGGUUUUCCAUCUCUUGGUCGAGGAUUUUCCCAGAUGGGACUGGGAAGGUGAACUGGGAAGGAGUUGGUUACUACAACAGGCUCAUAGAUUACAUGCUUCAGCAAGGUAUCACUCCAUAUGCAAACCUCUAUCAAUAUGACCUCCCACUGGCACUCCAUCAGCAGUACCUUGGCUGGCUAAGCCCAAGGAUAGUGGGCGCGUUUGCAGACUAUGCCGAUUUCUGUUUCAAGGUGUUUGGAGACAGGGUGAAGAAUUGGUUUACCUUCAAUGAGCCGAGGUGCGUCGCUGCGCUGGGGUAUGACAUUGGCCUCCAUGCACCGGGGAGGUGUUCUCAGUGCUCUGCAGGAGGUGACUCUACCACAGAGCCGUACCUUGCGGCGCACCAUCUCAUACUCUCACAUGCUGCGGCUGUGCGGCGAUACCGUGACAAGUAUCAGCAUCAACAAAAGGGGAGGAUUGGAAUUCUCUUGGAUUUUGUGUGGUACGAACCUUUGAGCAACAGCAAUGCUGAUCAAGCUGCAGCGCAGAGGGCAAGGGACUUCCACCUUGGAUGGUUCCUUGACCCCAUCAUCCAUGGUCGCUACCCAUUCACGAUGCUCGAGAUUGUCAAGGAUAGGUUGCCACGCUUCAAUGCCGACGAGUCCACGAUGGUUAAAGGAUCCAUUGACUAUGUUGGUAUCAACCAAUACACUUCUUUCUACAUGAAGGACAAUGGGACUUGGAACCUGACGCCUGUCAGUUACCAGGAUGAUUGGCAUGUUGAAUUUGUCUUUAAAUGA
rnacentral:rRNA from 1 species